rnacentral:tRNA from 1 species
GGCCUUAUAGUCAAUUUUAUGAUAUUAGACUGCAAUUCUAAGGGAGUAGGUGACUACUAAGGCUU